GGGGCCCCCUGUAUGUUUUAGCCAGGACAUUCACUGGAUGGACCUUCUAGUCCAGUUCCUCUGAGUAGUGUGGUUUUCAUCUACUGCACUCAGGAUCAGAUCUCAGAAAGUGAUGAGAAACUUCCAUCACUUGUAAAGUGACCAGCACUGUUCUAUUUGUGUCAAUAAAACUGGGUUAUUUAUUUGGAGCACGAAGCUGAAAGCAGCCAAAAAUCCACCACAGGCCAUGUGCAUGUGCACACAUCUCUAUACACGUGAGUAAGAUCGCAGGUGUGUGUUUGAGGUGGUGUGUGUGUGUGUGUGGGUGUGUGCGCAAUGACCAACUGAUCUAGCUGAUAUUUAACCUAAUCUCUGUGAAUGGGGUAUUCAGAAAUGCGCACAUGUAAGCGCUACACCGAAUCCACUCUAUAGCACCACUCACUCAUAUUGGGGAAACAUUAUUAUUAUAUAUAUUUUUUUUUCAAUAAACAAAAUUGUUUUAAAAGCAUUGUAAGCGAUUUCUGCUAGAAUAACGUGUAAAAUGUUCCUACUACCUGACAGUUAUGGCUGAAAUAACUGUCCUGUGACUGUCUAGACUGAAAAACAGC